rnacentral:rRNA from 2 species
CAUUUGUUCUCUAAAUAAGGACUUGUAUGAAUGGCCACACGAGGGUUUUACUGUCUCUUACUUCCAAUCAGUGAAAUUGACCUCCCCGUGAAGAGGCGGGGAUAAAUCAACAAGACGAGAAGACCCUAUGGAGCUUUAACUAAGUAACUCAAGGAAAAUAAAUUCAACCACCAAGGGAUAACAACACUCCUUAUGAGUUAACAGUUUCGGUUGGGGUGACCUCGGAGAACAGAAAAUCCUCCGAGCGAUUUUAAAGACUAGACUAACAAGUCAAACCAAACCAUCGCUUAUUGAUCCAAAAACUUGAUCAACGGAACAAGUUACCCUAGGGAUAACAGCGCAAUCCUAUUCAAGAGUCCAUAUCGACAAUAGGGUUUACGACCUCGAUGUUGGAUCAGGACACCCCGAUGGUGCAACCGCUAUCAAAGGUUCGUUUGUUCAACGAUUAAAGUCCU